rnacentral:rRNA from 1 species
AGUGAACGCUGGCGGUAGGCCUAACACAUGCAAGUCGAACGGCAGCACAGUAAGAGCUUGCUCUUACGGGUGGCGAGUGGCGGACGGGUGAGGAAUACAUCGGAAUCUACUUUUUCGUGGGGGAUAACGUAGGGAAACUUACGCUAAUACCGCAUACGACCUACGGGUGAAAGCAGGGGAUCUUCGGACCUUGCGCGAUUGAAUGAGCCGAUGUCGGAUUAGCUAGUUGGCGGGGUAAAGGCCCACCAAGGCGACGAUCCGUAGCUGGUCUGAGAGGAUGAUUAGCCACACUGGAACUGAGACACGGUCCAGACUCCUACGGGAGGCAGCAGUGGGGAAUAUUGGACAAUGGGCGCAAGCCUGAUCCAGCCACACCGCGUGGGUGAAGAAGGCCUUCGGGUUGUAAAGCCCUUUUGUUGGGAAAGAAAAGCAGCAGGUUAAUACCCCGCUGUUCUGACGGUACCCAAAGAAUAAGCACCGGCUAACUUCGUG